rnacentral:rRNA from 1 species
UACGUAGGCAGCAAGCGUUGUUCGGAGUUACUGGGCGUAAAGGGUGCGUAGGCGGCUCAGUAAGUCAGGUGUGAAACCUCCAGGCUCAACCUGGAGACGCCACCUGAUACUGCUGUGGCUAGAGUCCGGUAGGGGAGCGUGGAAUUCCUGGUGUAGCGGUGAAAUGCGCAGAUAUCAGGAGGAACACCAGCGGCGAAGGCGGCGCUCUGGGCCGGAACUGACGCUGAGGAGCGAAAGCGUGGGUAGCAAACAGG